GACGAAGGAUGCAAGCGUUAUCCGGAUUCAUUGGGUUUAAAGGGAGCGUAGGUGGCCUUAUAAGUCAGUGGUGAAAUCUCUGGGCUUAACCCAGAAAUUGCCAUUGAUACUGUAGGACUUGAGUAUAGUUGCCGUUGGCGGAAUAUGACAUGUAGUGGUGAAAUACAUAGAGAUGUCAUAGAACACCGAUUGCGAAGGCAGCUGACGAAACUAUAACUGACACUGAGGCUCGAAAGUGCGGGGAUCGAAACAGG
rnacentral:rRNA from 1 species